AUUGAACGCUGGCGGCAGGCCUAACACAUGCAAGUCGAGCGGCAGCGGGAAAGUAGCUUGCUACUUUUGCCGGCGAGCGGCGGACGGGUGAGUAAUGCCUGGGGAUCUGCCCAGUCGAGGGGGAUAACUACUGAAACGGUAGCUAAUACCGCAUACGCCCUACGGGGGAAAGCAGGGGACCUUCGGGCCUUGCGCGAUUGGAUGAACCCAGGUGGGAUUAGCUAGUUGGUGAGGUAAUGGCUCACCAAGGCGACGAUCCCUAGCUGGUCUGAGAGGAUGGUCAGCCACACUGGAACUGAGACACGGUCCAGACUCCUACGGGAGGCAGCAGUGGGGAAUAUUGCACAAUGGGGGAAACCCUGAUGCAGCCAUGCCGCGUGUGUGAAGAAGGCCUUCGGGUUGUAAAGCACUUUCAGCGAGGAGGAAAGGUCAGUAGCUAAUACCUGCUGACUGUGACGUUACUCGCAGAAGAAGCACCGGCUAACUCCGUGCCAGCCGCCGCAGUAAAAC
rnacentral:rRNA from 1 species